GAUGAACGCUGGCGGCGUGCUUAACACAUGCAAGUCGAACGGUGAAGCAGGAGCUUGCUCUUGUGGAUCAGUGGCGAACGGGUGAGUAACACGUGAGCAACCUGCCCCUGACUCUGGGAUAAGCGCUGGAAACGGCGUCUAAUACUGGAUAUGUGAUGUGACCGCAUGGUCUGCAUCUGGAAAGAAGUUCGGGUGGGGAUUGGCACGCGGCCUGGCAGCUUGUUGGGGAGGUAAUGGCUAACCAAGGCGUCGACGGGUAGCCGGCCUGAGAGGGUGACCGGCCACACUGGGGAUGAGACACGGCCCAGACUCCUACGGGAGGCAGCAGUGGGGAAUAUUGCACAAUGGGCGGAAGCCUGAUGCAGCAACGCCGCGUGAGGGAUGACGGCCUUCGGGUUGUAAACCUCUUUUAGCAGGGAAGAAGCGAAAGUGACGGUACCUGCAGAAAAAGCACCGGCUAACUACGUGCCAGCCGCCGCGGUAA
rnacentral:rRNA from 1 species